UAGAAUGAAGCUCGCUGGAUUGAGCGUUUAGCUGUUAACUAAAAUUUCGCGGGAUCAAGGCCCGUCUUUCUAG
rnacentral:tRNA from 1 species